rnacentral:rRNA from 1 species
AUUGAACGCUGGCGGCAGGCCUAACACAUGCAAGUCGAGCGGAUGAAGGGAGCUUGCUCCUGGAUUCAGCGGCGGACGGGUGAGUAAUGCCUAGGAAUCUGCCUGGUAGUGGGGGAUAACGUCCGGAAACGGGCGCUAAUACCGCAUACGUCCUGAGGGAGAAAGUGGGGGAUCUUCGGACCUCACGCUAUCAGAUGAGCCUAGGUCGGAUUAGCUAGUUGGUGGGGUAAAGGCCUACCAAGGCGACGAUCCGUAACUGGUCUGAGAGGAUGACCAGUCACACUGGAACUGAGACACGGUCCAGACUCCUACGGGAGGUAGCAGUGGGGAAUAUUGGACAAUGGGCGAAAGCCUGAUCCAGCCAUGCCGCGUGUGUGAAGAAGGUCUUCGGAUUGUAAAGCACUUUAAGUUGGGAGGAAGGGCAGUAAGUUAAUACCUUGCUGUUUUGACGUUACCAACAGAAUAAGCACCGGCUAACUUCGUG